rnacentral:rRNA from 1 species
UCCUACGGGAGGCAGCAGUGGGGAAUAUUGGACAAUGGGCGCAAGCCUGAUCCAGCCAUGCCGCGUGAGUGAUGAAGGCCUUAGGGUUGUAAAGCUCUUUCGGCGGGGACGAUAAUGACGGUACCCGCAGAAGAAGCCCCGGCUAACUUCGUGCCAGCAGCCGCGGUA